UACGAAGGGGGCUAGCGUUGUUCGGAAUCACUGGGCGUAAAGGGCGCGUAGGCGGCGCGACAAGUCAGGCGUGAAAGCCCCGGGCUCAACCCGGGAAUUGCGCUUGAUACUGUCGUGCUUGAGGCCGGGAGAGGAUGGCGGAAUUCCCAGUGUAGAGGUGAAAUUCGUAGAUAUUGGGAAGAACACCUAUGGCGAAGGCAGCUCUCUGGGACGGUACUGACGCUGAGACGCGAAAGCGUGGGGAGCGAACAGG
rnacentral:rRNA from 1 species